GACGAACGCUGGCGGCGUGCCUAAUACAUGCAAGUCGAACGCAGUGGGGACGGGUGAGUAACACGUGGGUAACCUCCCAUCAGAGGGGAUAACACUUGGCAACAGGUGCUAAACCGAUACUGAUGGAUGGACCCGCGGGGCAUUAGCUAGUUGGUGAGGUAACGGCUCACCAAGGCCACGAUGCAUAGCCGACCUGAGAGGAUGACCAGCCACACUGGAACUGAGACACGGUCCAGACUCCUACGGGAGGCAGCAGUGGGGAAUAUUGGACAAUGGGCGAAAGCCUGAUGCAGCCAUGCCGCGUGUAUGAAGAAGGCCUUCGGGUUGUAAAGUACUUUCAGCGAGGCGGUACUCGCAGAAGAAGCACCGGCUAACUACGUGCCAGCAGCCGCGGUAAUAC
rnacentral:rRNA from 1 species